UACGUACGAGGCGAGCGUUAUCCGGAAUUACUGGGCGUAAAGCGCGCGCAGGCGGACCAUUAAGUUGGGCGUGAAAUCUCCCGGCCUAACUGGGAGGGGUCGCCCAAGACUGGUGGUCUUGAGGACAGCAGAGGUGGGUGGAAUUCCUGGUGUAGUGGUGAAAUGCGUAGAGAUCAGGAGGAACACCGGUGGCGAAGGCGGCCCACUGGGCUGUCACUGACGCUGAGGCGCGAAAGCUCGGGGGAGCGAACGGG
rnacentral:rRNA from 1 species